UGGUGGAACUGAAAGAGAGGGUGCAGAUGCAAGGAGAGGAAACAACUAUUCCACCAAUAGUAACCAUCCAGCUGAAACAGAAGGAGACUCCCCCCCCCGCAUGAUUGGUAUCAGGAGCCUUCACAAUUGGAAAGUUCACAUGAACAUAAAACAAGGACAGUGAAAUGUAUGCAUCACAGCAUAUGAGAUCAGAUAAACAUGUUUAUGAAGCAUGUAUUGCAGGACAGCUCUGAAGGAAUAUCCAGGAAUGUUUGCUUUUGAGAAACACACAAUUGGGCAGUGCUAAUUAGCAAUUGGAGAUGUCACAUUGUCAGUGGAUGACUUGUGGUCAGCAAUGCACCAUAUGCCCAAUUCUGGUGAGAAAACAGUUUCUGCAAAUUAACUUCCCUCUGCUCUGGAGUUGGAGGAAACAGCUGGCCCAACAUGACGGAAUGUUUGCUUUGGAUGCCUCACGUUUACCAACAACACAGUCGCCUGGCCAUUCUUCCUGUAA